CAGCAGCCGCGGGAAUACGUAGGUGGCAAGCGUUGUCCGGAAUUAUUGGGCGUAAAGGGCUCGCAGGCGGUUUCUUAAGUCUGAUGUGAAAGCCCCCGGCUCAACCGGGGAGGGUCAUUGGAAACUGGGAAACUUGAGUGCAGAGGAGGAGAGUGGAAUUCCACGUGUAGCGGUGAAAUGCGUAGAGAUGUGGAGGAACACCAGUGGCGAAGGCGACUCUCUGGUCUGUAACUGACGCUGAGGAGCGAAAGCGUGGGGAGCGAACAGGAUUAGAUACCCGCGUAGUCCUUGUCUCUUAUAC
rnacentral:rRNA from 1 species